UGGGGAAUCUUCCGCAAUGGGCGCAAGCCUGACGGAGCAACGCCGCGUGAGUGAAGAAGGUCUUCGGAUCGUAAAGCUCUGUUGAUGGGGACGAACGUGCCUAAUGCGAAUAGUAUUAGGUAAUGACGGUACCCAUCGAGGAAGCCACGGCUAACUACGUGCCAGCAGCCGCGGUAAUACGUAGGUGGCGAGCGUUGUCCGGAAUCAUUGGGCGUAAAGGGAGCGCAGGCGGGCAUGUAAGUCUUUCUUAAAAGUGCGGGGCUCAACCCCGGGAUGGGAAAGAAACUAUGGGUUUUAAUUCAAGGAGAGGAAGGCGGAAUUCCCGGUGAAGCGGUGAAAUGCGUAGUAUUGGGGAGGAACACCAGUGGGGAAGGGGGCUUUUGGACUGCAACUGACGCUGAGGCUCGAAAGCCAGGGGAGCGAACGGG
rnacentral:rRNA from 1 species